CCUACGGGAGGCAGCAGUGAGGAAUAUUGGUCAAUGGACGAGAGUCUGAACCAGCCAAGUAGCGUGAAGGAUGACUGCCCUAUGGGUUGUAAACUUCUUUUAUAUGGGAAUAAAAUGUUCCACGUGUGGGAUUUUGUAUGUACCAUAUGAAUAAGGAUCGGCUAACUCCGUGCCAGCAGCCGCGGUAAUACGGAGGAUCCGAGCGUUAUCCGGAUGUAUUGGGUUUAAAGGGAGCGUAGGUGGAUUGUUAAGUCAGUUGUGAAAGUUUGCGGCUCAAACGUAAAAUUGCAGUUGAAACUGGCAGUCUUGAGUACAGUAGAGGUGGGCGGAAUUCGUGGUGUAGCGGUGAAAUGCUUAGAUAUCACGAAGAACUCCGAUUGCGAAGGCAGCUCACUGGACUGCAACUGACACUGAGGCUCGAAAGUGUGGGUAUCAAACAGGAUUAGAUACCCCUGUAGUC
rnacentral:rRNA from 1 species